GACGAACGCUGGCGGCGUGCUUAACACAUGCAAGUCGAGCGGUAAGGCCCUUUCGGGGGUACACGAGCGGCGAACGGGUGAGUAACACGUGGGUGACCUGCCCUCAGCUCUGGGAUAAGCCUGGGAAACUGGGUCUAAUACCGGAUAUGACUCCAUGACGCAUGUUGUGGGGUGGAAAGCCUUGUGCGGCUGAGGAUGGGCCCGCGGCCUAUCAGCUUGUUGGUGGGGUGAUGGCCUACCAAGGCGACGACGGGUAGCCGGCCUGAGAGGGCGACCGGCCACACUGGGACUGAGACACGGCCCAGACUCCUACGGGAGGCAGCAGUGGGGAAUCUUGCGCAAUGGGCGAAAGCCUGACGCAGCGACGCCGCGUGAGGGAUGACGGCCUCGGUGUAAC
rnacentral:rRNA from 1 species